rnacentral:rRNA from 1 species
AGUGGGGAAUAUUGGACAAUGGGCGAAAGCCUGAUCCAGCAAUGCCGCGUGAGUGAUGAAGGCCUUAGGGUUGUAAAGCUCUUUUACCCGGGAUGAUAAUGACAGUACCGGGAGAAUAAGCUCCGGCUAACUCCGUGCCAGCAGCCGCGGUAAUACGGAGGGAGCUAGCGUUGUUCGGAAUUACUGGGCGUAAAGCGCGCGUAGGCGGUUACUCAAGUCAGAGGUGAAAGCCCGGGGCUCAACCCCGGAACUGCCUUUGAAACUAGGUAACUAGAAUCUUGGAGAGGUCAGUGGAAUUCCGAGUGUAGAGGUGAAAUUCGUAGAUAUUCGGAAGAACACCAGUGGCGAAGGCGACUGACUGGACAAGUAUUGACGCUGAGGUGCGAAAGCGUGGGGAGCAAA